AAAGGUAGAGGUUGCGUGAUUCAUAAGUAGCAUAUCGGAUGCGGCAGAGGCAGAAGAAGAGGUGUGAAAGGGGAGAACGCCGAAAGGAUAUGGUGAUCUGCAGUCGUAUCUUUGGGCAUAGGAUGAAGAAUUCUAUGACUCUCAUCGGUAUAUCAGAUGGAGGCGCUAUCCG
rnacentral:ncRNA from 1 species